GAUUAACCUACUGGAGAGGGAGGUGAAGCUGGCUCAAGACCAAUUUGGCCAACAGUGGAUUCUGCUGACCAAAAUGCAGCGCAUCUAGCAUCUUGCGCACCUCCCCUUGAUAGUCCUUUGCCUCCUAUAAGUUUGUUCGAUUUAUUGGAAGCUUUACAGGUGAAAAAGAGUGUUAUUCCAUGCCAUUCAGUAUAUGCAGUAGGACUUGAAAGAAUCUCGUCUCGUCUGUGGCAUCCCAGCUGGGGAGAAGUUGAGCAAGAAGCCAUUGCAGCCCAAGAAUCAUUAUUAAGAGAUACCCUCAAGGAACAAAGAUUAGCUGCAAAUCCUGUUUCAUAGCAAUCUUCAUUCUAAUCCUAAGUGCUACAAAAGGUUUUUCUUUUUUAAUUUAUAUGCAGGCAGUGAACUGUAAGAAAUUUCGAGACACAUACACGUUUGUGUGUAUGUGUAAUAAAGGCAAUUCCUUAUUA